rnacentral:lncRNA from 1 species
CAACAAAACAUCCAGAAGCCGUACGAACGAAUUGGGAGGCAAAAACAUUCAUCUUGGAGUGGAUUUGAAGGUAAGAACAAGAAUUGAUGCGAGAUUUACAAGAUUUCUUCAAGUUUUGAUAACCCGGUGAUGUAUUUUAUUCAUACUUUGUUAGAUUUCAUUAUUUUUAUCAUGAUAGGCUAGAUUUCUGCAACUAGGUGAUCGAUGAACCAUGUAAUUAUUAUUGAACUUGUUAUUUCAUGAUUUUGAAUUAUUAGUUCAAUAGGAUAUUUGAAUGGAUUAUAUUGCUUUGUUUAUUUCCACAAUUAAUGUGCACUUAAUUUGUGUCAACUUGGUGGUUUAAUUCUAAAUUUGAGAAAAUUAGAUUAAAC